GGAGGUAUAGCUCAGUGGUACAAUGAGUGCUUAGCACGCACAAGGUCCUGGGUUCGAUCCCCAGUUCCUUCA
rnacentral:tRNA from 1 species